rnacentral:lncRNA from 1 species
CUCUGUGCUUUGCAUAUUCAUUGCUCCUCCAAAGGCAAGUACUCAAGCUCUUCACAGGGUCUGUCAACUCUAAUUUUUCCGAACUUUAUUCUCAUCCAUAUUAUUUUGAGUUUUAAUAUCAUAAGGAGGUAUAAUAGGUUAUGGAAACAUGCAUGGGUUUAUUUUAUUCCAUGAAAGUUUUUAAAAAUUAAGCUUUUAUGUACCAUGUACUGUGUAUAAUAUAUACAUUUUACAUAUAUAUAUGUAUAGCUUGAUGUUAUGUGUAUAUAACUUGAAUAAUAGUUAUUCACUACCCUAUUUUUUAGGUAACAAAUCAGGUUUGUAUAUGAGUGCUUUUGUGACUAGAUUUAUAUAGAUGUGUAAAUGUAUGUUAAUAUUUCAGGUCCUUAGUAGGUGGCAACUAAUUUCUAAAUCUCAGGCUAUUUUGCACAUAUUGUGUUCAUUAUUGAGAAAUAAUAAUGUUAAAAUAUUUAGGCCUAUGCAUUUCUGGCAUUGAGUUCAGAUAUCCAAACUAAAGUUGGUUGAGACCAUAAAAAAUGAGGAAGUAAAAAAAAUUAACUGAAUGCAUUUGAUGUGGGGAUUAAACUAACACAUCAAGUAAAGUGAUGCAUGAAACAGCAAUCCAAAAUUUGAAACAGAUGUUAAUUCUGUUUGUUUUUUUUUCAGAUUCCCAAAAUCAUUUAAUUACUUUAAUAUUUACUGCAGUGCUCUUAGCUAAGAGAUGAUUUGAUUAUGUAUGACUAUUUAUGGUGUUUCCUGAACUUAAGGCAUUCCAUCACUUUUGCCAAUUUUAUUGUGUUUUCCCUAAAUUUAUAUUAAUAUUGUCAUAUGGAUCAGCUCACUUUAUUUCACUGAAAUAUAAGUAAUAAUAAAGCCAGUGGAUUUAUUUGUAUAAAUAAUGCAAAGUCUUCAAGGAGAAAUUUGUAACUGGUUAUUAAUCUGGCAAUAAUAAACUUUUUUUUUUUUUUUUUUGCCUUUUCUAGGGCCGCAACGCAACAUAUGAGAGUUCCCAGGCUAGGGGUCCCGGCCUACACCACAGCCACAGCAAUGAGGGAUCCGAGCCGUGUGAGCCGUGUCUGCGAACUACACCGCAGCUCACGGCAAUGCCGGAUCCUUAACCCACUGAGUGAGGCCAGGGAUCGAACCCUCAAUCUCAUGGUUCCUAGUUGGAUUCGUUAACCACUGAGCCACAAUGGGAACUCCUGGCAAUAAUAAAAAUCUUUUAUCAUAUGUUGCUUGGCAUUAGACAAAGAUAAGAUUGCAAUCAGUAAGUUUUGUUUUUGUGGUUUUUUUUUUUAGUUUUGAUAUUGUUUUGAAUCUUCUUCCCAACCUACCUACAGGCCUCUAGUUUAGAACCAUAUCUUACAUUGGCCAUUAAAGGCUCCUGGCCAGUGGUAAUAUUGAAAUGCUGGAGACAUCAGUUGAGAAACACAGGUUGAGUAUAAUUUGAUCCUUGUAUGUUAAUGAAUCCUGUCUUUCUCCUUUCCUUGGUGUAUCCAGCUCUGCAUGUGAUAGUCUCAGGCAACCUCUGAUUAUAGGUUUUUUCAGCCUCUUUUCACAAGGAUGUCAGUGACUCAGAGGCAGAUACUAAGUGUGAACUUACAGAACCAUGAUACUAAGAAACCUUCAUUUAUAUAGUCAGGGAUGGACUGCUAUCUUUGCUUAUAGAGUUGGGUGCUUAGAAUUAAUUCCUGGCCAAAAUCUUGUUAUGCUUUUGUUUAAUAGACUUUUACCUUGUUCUCUUUGCAACAUUUACUGUCCCUCUGUGUCAUGUUUAUAAAAUGGCAGAAGGAAAAAGAGUUAAAAUUCCAUUGUCUGCUGUCGCCAUCUAGUUGAAGAAGAUGCUGAUGAAGGCUUUUAUCAGAGUAUUCCAAGUGUAUUCAAAAAGUUCAGAAUAUUUUCAGAGGGCUCUUCAGACACAUCCCUUAGCUAGGCGGUUCCAACAAUGUAA